UGGGUCGAAACCGGAUAUCACGUGGGGUCAGCGAGGUACUCCGUGCCCUUAGAUAGGCGUGAAAGUAGCUAGGGAAUGAUUCCUCGGCCAUGCCUGCCAUGUUCCCAGUCCCUGCGUGCCUAGAAGCAUCCGCUGGCCCAACACAAGCAUGCAAGUUGCGCGGGAGCGGCCGCAUACAAGACGCCGCCGCCAAGAAUUCGCGGUGAGAACGUCGUCGACCGCAUUACCGCCAACCCACGAAGGACUGCGACCUCAAGGUACGUCUGCCGAAACUGCAACUUGUGACAUAAAGCGGCGAUGCAUUUUCAUUUUUUUUUUUUUAAUUUUAGGCCUUGCUCCUUCAGCUGUAGCGCGACGUAAGCCCUGCCAUUUCACUUUCAAGAUACGUAAGCUGCUUCGACCCUGAUAAUGUCGACGCAAUGGUGCAUCUGAACAGCCAAUGGAUACCAUGCCCACUCUGUAACGACCAGUGCUUUUAAUGAAACAGCACAGCAGAAUAAAGUCAACCACGUGAGGCACCUCAGACAGCAUAUGCAGUGGGUUGCGACGGAUUUAAUGAUUUCAUCAGCAUUUUCACUGGAUGCAAGGCUGUGAAUCUCCUGUACGAUGCAUGUGUGGAAAUGAAACCCAACAGUCUGGCAUAUCCCAUUAGUUGGGUGCCCCCGUGUCGGCAUUUGCUGAUGUGAUCCCAGCUAUCUUCACCCAUUACAUUCUGAUGAAUUUACUGCAGCCACCCUUUAGAAAAAUACCACAUGGCAGUUAUUUCAAGGUAAUUAGUUCUCCCAUACAGAAAAAAUACCAUUAGCAGUACUCGUGGGCGAUAAUCUGCCACUCUGCAAUGGUGGCGAGCAUAAAUCCCACUAGCUGUAGUAACACCAGUUUUGAAAUUAGCAACUUGCUUGCAGCUCGACGUCAUGUGUACUAUGUUUUGUGCAAUGUCAGUGUUCAGAAUAAAAGCAUUUGACCACUGCAAACUGUCGUUUUUCUUCUUCUAGACGUGCAUAUGAUAUAAAAAACAUGCAGGGCUGUAUUACAGCACAGAAAAAGUUUGGACAAUUCAAGCUCAUUAAUUCAGAAUGCAAGUUCGAAAAUUCUAAGGAAUCAAAUCAUUGUUUUCAGUUCACUGAAGUAGACAAAGUGCACUUCAGCCACCAAAUGCAAUUGACAAGGUUGAGAACAUUUAUGAGUUAUGACUGCACUGCAGUUAACUUUUUUACAAACGAAGUAGGCCCACCAUUGAUCCAAAUGCUUACGUGAGUGUGGAAACUCCGCGAUAGACAACAGACAAAACGGUAGGAGGGCUAAGCGUCAGUUGACGAUACGUGUUCUCAGGUGCUCAUAUCGCAUGAGGAAACUCAUGGACAGUGCAUAGUCGUACUUUUAACAGCAGCAGAGGCGUAG